CAUCGGGGCAGCCAACAAGCAGUUUACAUUCAAAUCCUUCUACUGGGAGCUCCAUGUCAAGCAGUGCAGAUGCUUGAAUUUAAAUUUCAGACGUUAACUUUAAUCAACGGCACAAAAGAUCGUUUGCGGCUAGAGGCAAACAAAACAUGUAAAACACUUCACAUAAAUUGCAUCAAAGGGACACUACAGCAACACCAUCAACAACAACACCAUCAACAACAACAACGACAGCAACGACAAUAUUAACAAAGCGUUUUAAACAAACGUUGUAGCCUGCAAACCAAAAUUGAAUUUGCGGUUUCGGCGUGUGGGCCAAGUUCCAGUUGUAGUUGGGCGGACAACUCGAACAAGUGCGUAUCAGGUAUCUAUGCGAAGGGCCGUAACACGUAAUACCCGAUGAGACAAUGCGGCAAAUAACUGUAAAUGAAGCUAAAAUGUGGUCAGCAAAUGCGGCAACCGCACAAUAACAAAAAC